CCUCACUUCAGAGGCUUUUCAUUUCUAUCCCAGGUGUCUGGGAAACAGAAGCCCCGCUUAUGGGCUGAGGUGAAAUAAAAUAACCUUACCGGGACUACAUUUCCCAGAAAGAAAAGGAUCUACAUAUUUCAGAAUCAUCUGGGAAUGAAAGCUAAUCCAGCUGAGCAGAAUUUUUAAACUCAGAGAUCAGUGGCUUAUUCUCUCAGUGAAUCCAGUGCCUGUUUCCUUUGCAGAGGAGUUGAACUGAUCCUUUUCUGGAAGAUUCUGCCUUGUGCUGUUUUGUCCUGAGCAAGAAGAAUAGUCUCUCACUAUCCACGAGAUCUCUGAUCAUGAUAACAAACCACGAUCAGGGACAGGCACACUAUACUUCCACAUGCUGGGCCUCCUUCCACCCCUGAAGGGUGAAAUAUAAUUUGGGACCAGGGAAGGAAUGCUGAAUGUAACUCCACCACCUGUAUGACUCUCUUUCCUGGCUCUACUUGUAGGUAACUUUACUCAUUUAGGCUGUUCUGGGCUUUGGAAAACCCAGCACUUGGCACCACUGGCAAGCCUCUCAGGAGGGGAAACAGGUGUAAUGUAGCUGAACCCCCCCUCCUCUAUUCCAAGGACUGCUUUGAUGACCCACCUGUUUUGGUCUGGGGUCAUGGAAGUGCCCAAACCAUUCUCUGAAGUAGGAGCCCCACUACCUCAGCACAGUCCAUCUCAGAGGCUCCAAACCAGGAACCUUGUGGCUGAGUUUACCCUAUCUUAGGGAUCAGAUGAUACAAGGAAGGCAACUGCAUGAAAGGCUAGAUGACCUCAAGAGGAGGAAGAGAUGAGAGGAGUCAGAUUAUAAACAAAAUUCUUGAGCAGAAUCCAUAAAAGGGGAGAAUGCUGUUCAGCUCCUCAUCCCGGAGAAAGAAAGAAUGACUCUCUGAAAACUUUUCUCUCUACUUUUUUUCAACGAGGUAUUUGUUCUCUAAUAUAUGCAGCUGGCAUUUAUUAUGUGCUUUUUAUUCUUCAGAUGUUUUGGAUUCCUUAAUUUUGCCAUUAAAAAAUGUAUUUCUCA